GAUAUAUGUAGCUCAGUCAAUAGAGGAUGAGACUCUUAAUCUCAGGGUCAUGGGUCCGUGCCCCACAUUAACCA